rnacentral:rRNA from 1 species
GAUGAACGCUGGCGGCAGGCCUAAUACAUGCAAGUCGAACGAACAGACGAGGAGCUUGCUCCUCUGACGGUAGCGGCGGACGGGUGAGUAACACGUGCAUAACCUACCUAUUAGACUGGGAUAACUUCGUGAAACCGCAUCUAAUACCAGCUAAUAUAUUGAACCGCAUGAAUCAAUAGUUAAAUACGGUUUGGGUGUCACUUAUAGAUGUAUUCGGGCCGCAUUAGCGACUUGGUAAGGUAACGGCUUACCAAGGCAACGAUGCGUAGCCGACCUGAGAGGGUGAUCGGCCACACUGGAACUGAGACACGGUCCAGACUCCUACGGGAGGCAGCAGUAGGGAAUCUUGCGCAAUGGGCGAAAGCCUGAGGGAGCAACACCGCGUGAGUGAUGAAGGUCUUCGGAUCGUAAAACUCUGUUGUUAGGGAAGAAAAAAUGUGUAAGUAACUCUGCAUGUCUUGACGGUACCUAAUGAGAAAGCCACGGCUAACUUCGUG